rnacentral:rRNA from 1 species
CAUGCAAGUCGAGCGAGAAGCUUAGUUUGAAGCUUCGGCCGAUUUCUAAGAUGGACAGCGGCGCAAGGGAGAGUAAUGAGUGGAUUACCUACCCCCAGGACCCGGGAUAGCUGCGGGAAACUGCAGGUAAUACCGGAUAAUAUCUCCGGAUCAAAUGGUGAGAUUCCGCCAGGGGAUGGGUCCGCUUCCUAUUAGCUUGUUGGUGGGGUAACGGCCUACCAAGGCGACAAUGGGUACCGGGUGUGAGAGCAUGGCCCGGCUCACUGGGACUGAGACACUGCCCAGACACCUACGGGUGGCUGCAGUCGAGAAUCUUCCGCAAUGGGCGAAAGCCUGACGGAGCGACGCCGCGUGCGGGAUGAAGGCCGUUCGGGUUGUAAACCGCUGUCAGUAGGGAGGAAAUCUAGUGGGGUUCUCCCCCAUAGUUGACCUAUCUUCAGAGGAAGGACGGGCUAAGUUCGUG